GAUUAUUAUAAAGCAAUAAGCAAGUGAGAAGAGAAGCAGACGUUUUACAUUGGGAAUUGAUGAAAGCAUAUCUGUUCAUUUUUUUGAAGCUAACCUGCAAAUGCAAAAGGUCAGCUGAGGAAAUCAUUAAAGAGGAAUUCUAAAAGAAGCUUCCAAAGCGUUGGACCACCCUAAAAGAGAAAGGAAGGAAAUGUUCGGGGAAAGCUAGGGUUCCCGGAAACUGAAGAGGGGGCGAGCGCCCCCGACACCGUGGCUUCUCCGGGCGCUGCCUUAAGGGACCAGGGUGGGCCUGAGGUCCUGCACAAGCCUUUCCAAGCCCCCACUUCAAAUGUGGGGAGGGAAAAGUUCAGAAGCAGCCACAAGGGGACAAAAGCCUCAUUUUACCAGUUCAACAGGACAGGACAUCCAAUAAACAGAGCGAGCUCUGGAAACGGGUCGAGGCUCCCGUUGGUUCCACAGAGACUGAAGCAGCCCCUGCCGCCGCCCUCGCCGCCGCCGCCGCCGCCGCCGCCGCCGCCGCGGCCCCUGCGUUACUGGGGGAGACGGUGCCGCUGCGACAGGGGAGGACGCGGCUGGAGCUCAAGGAGGCUCCAGCGCGCAGGCGCCGCCGAGCCCUGCCUGGAUGCUCAGUCAAGGCACUAAGGCAAAAAAAAAAUCAGCAAUUUAUAGAAAGAAGAAGCUAUAGUCUGUCGGGAUAUCCAACACCAACAGGGCUUAUUGAGAGCUCCAUUUCUGGAAAGCGUUGCAAGACUGAGGAAUAUCAGACUGCGAAUCACCGGGAACAGUUCCCUUGCAGCACAGAAGCAAUCUCUCUCCCCAUCUUCGCAUAUUCUGAUGGCAAAUCAAAUGGAAGAAAAGAGGAAGCAUGACUGCAGAUCGCAUCAGUUCUCUUUGUGGAUUACAUUUUCAGUAAAAUGGAGCUGAGGCGCUGUUUCAGCACAACCCUUCUUUACUGCAGAAAAUCCAGGUUACCAAGGGAACCUUACUGUGUUAUAUGAAGGAGCAUCUGGAAAUCUUUAGCCUUGUGAAACACUAACCUUCUCUGCUAAGCAAUUGUGGCCUGUAGCCAUAUCUUGAGAAGAAAAUCAAGAAGGGGAUCAGCGAUGAUAAGGAUUUGGGCAACAUUCUGCAGUCUUUGCAAUAGUUCACCUAUAAUCCUAUUUUAAAUCUCAGAGUGAUCCUGCUGAUUGCCGGCGAAGGUUUGUAAUUAAGAAAGGACUGAACCACUGCCCUAAGUUUCUUUAUGUGGUUGAAAACUAGAUAAUGAAAGUAGCAGGUGCUAAGUAUCAGUGCUAAAUGCUGUGUAUAUCACUACUUAUGAAAAAAAAACAUCAAAAAAACAAUUAGCAUUGGACAUCUUAAUAAAUUAAGUUGACAUGAGGUAAAUGUGUUGAUAAAAACUAAUUUUAGAAGUUUGAAGACUUUAAAACAUUUCAUACUAUUAUUGUUUUGCAAAGACUAAAAUAUUUGGGGACUUUAAGUACUGUAUUCCACUAAAGACGUGCCAUGAAUUAUUGGAUUAUCACACUUUUAAAAAUUCGCCUUGUAAGUUUCGGGGAGCAUUCCAAAGCAGUAUAUUGGUUCCAAUUAGAGUUUACUUCUUUUUUUUGUAUUAAUACAUUACUAUUUCUAAAUACCACUUUCCUUACCUACUAGUGAAAUUGCUAGCAUUGAAUUGUAUUAUGUGGUUUUGGUUGAUUUGGUAUAAAGUUUUUCCAAUUCAUUUAUAUUUUACAAAUGCUAGAUACUGGUCUGGGAGGCAACAUUAAAUGGUACCAGCUGGUCACAAUUGAGCAGUUCUAAUAAUGCAGAAUAAACACAUGUUGCCUUAAAGGGUUAUCUAGUAUCUUUCAUCUUAUUUAGCAUUGGAGCAAAUAGUCAAGGGAAAUCAAAUUAGUAACUGGUCAUGGUCAUGCAUCUGGAAGUGCAUGGACGAUCAUUUAAUACUCUUUUUCCUUUUCCUCACAUGGUCUGAAAAUUAAGGUGCACAUCACUGGGAUAACGAGAUUUUCUUCUGAGGUGUGCUACCCAUUCUAGUGUGUUCUAGGAAGCAGGCAGUUGAUGUAUGUUUAUAUUUUAAGUCAGCUGUCAAGGGGAGACCACAGCCUUAGUAUGACAUCCUGCACAAUUUGUGAAGCAUUUAUUCUACUGAAGGCACAGUCUUGUUUAUACUUUCUGCACAUUCAGUGUAUUGGUCGUUUAAAUUAUUUCAGUUUUAACUUGUGAAAGCUUAUAAUAUGAUUUCUGGUAUUUUAGAAAUACAUUAGAGUCUGUGAGUCUCAUUCUUUAAGAUACAGAUGUGUGAAUUUCAAUAUAAAGUUGCAUUUGCCAAAAUUUACCCGUGUAGCCUGUUACUUUCCUUGGAAUAAAUUUUACAUUUUUGGCAAUUAAUUUCUUUUGACCCAGGAGGCAAGCACAAACUAGGAAAGCUAGCUUUAUUAUGGUUUUGCUUUUUGCUUUUUGUAGCUAUAUUUUGGAACUGGAAGUGCAUGAAUGAUAGGGAGCAUAAAGCUGAUAAACUGACAAAUAAUAUUAUCUACAAAAGCAUUAUUUGAUAGUUUGUCAUAAUUACCCCUCUAUUCUUAUAAAGCAGUAAUAUUUAGAGAUAUAUACCUGCUUAGUUGAUUGGUUCAGAGUUUUAAUACAAAAAUAUCACAUUUUAAUUUGGAGCAUAGUAAAAAUUUGGGGUUCUAAAUAUAUAACAUCUAAAAAGAAUAGCUUACAAUAACAUUAUGACAAACCAAAAAACAUUGUUUUUGUUUUCCAUUGUUUUCAUUUGUUUGUUUGUUUUUGUUUUUGCUUUUUGGUGCUUGAAAAAUAUGAUGAGGAAUCUAAUGGAACAGAAUUCUUUAUUGCUACAGUACUUCUGUAAAGAGAAUAUCAAUAUAAAUAUAAAUAAGGGAAAAUAAAUCACUG
ensembl:lncRNA